ensembl:lncRNA
GAAAUGGUCAGAAGCUGUUUAUGUAGCUGCGAACUGCUCAACAACGGACAGGAAGACUGGGGUUCAGCAAAGCCCUUGGGGCUUUUUCCCUUGAGAUGCGCCCGGGCUUCUCCUGGGGUUGCUGGGACUGCAUGCCAACGAAUUCCACCCGGCUGGCUUUCCUCAGCCUGUCAGACUCACUUUGCACUGGGUUCCUGAGGGGCUGGGGCACUGUUGCCAAUCUCUACGGUUACCCCGAGGUUUGGACUUGGGGAUGAAGAGAGCCAUUUCUGCAAGAAAACAGGAGAUUCUUACUGUAGAACAGUCACGGAAACGUCAUCUUCCAAAGCACAUGCUUUUGAAUAACAAAGCUUACAGUGCGCGCCCCCCCGCCCCAGAUUGAUCCUUGUACAUAUUUCAUCGCAGCCGUUUCCUUUUCCACACACACACACACACACACACACACACACACACACUCUCCAGCUUGAAAGCACACACUGGACGAGCGAGUCUCCAGGUCGGUAACACUGCCUGUCUGGCCAAUGUCCUUCGCCUGAGGACAAGUAGGUAAAACCUCCCAAAAGCCCCCUCUUCCGGCUUCUCAAGUUCACUGUGGUCCGUCACUUGCACCCCUCGUGCUCGGCAAUUCUCAGCCUCAGAGCAGCAGCGUUCGUCUCCCUGGGGAGGGCGCCUUAAAACGCCUCAAAUUCUCGGGCUACCUGAGGGCCGGAGGUUUGGGGACCGCGCGGGUCGCGCCCCCUCGCGCCCCACUACCCGGGUCUCAAAGGAAGGGGCCACGGCGCUGCCUGCUCCCCGUCGCGGAGCGGCACGUCCUCUAAACCUCUGCGCGGGGGCCGGGCUGUCGUCGCGAGCUCCGGGUCCAGGUGCGGCGCCCUUUCCCAGGGCGGCGCGCAGGGGCCCGGGGCCUCCUCUCACGGCCGGGGCCGGCCAGGUGCUGCUCCCGGGCGCGCGCCUCCUCCCGCCGCGCACUGCGCAUGCUCAGCCCGGCAGCGCGCCGGCUCCCGCCCUCCCGGCGUCUCUCCUCUCCUGCACGCGUCUCCGCCUCCUCGAGGCUGAGGAGCCGGCAGCCUCAACUCCGCCGCGCCGGGUUUUUGGAGCCGCCGCGAGCGCUGGGAGGGAGGGGAGCGCGGCGUCCGACAGAGCACCGGGUUCAACGCGGGGAUUGGUCGCAAGUAGGCAGCUUUCGCCACUCCAGCGGGACCCUCCGGCCGUGCCGACGCCGCACCCGGAGGCUGUGGCGGGCGCCGCCGCGCUCAGGUGCUGAGCAGGGUCACAUGCUCAUCUGCAUUCAUCAAGGCUUUGGAAGGAAAAAGAACUUGGAGAAUGUUCAUUGUUCAGACCUGCAAAUCAUGUGUAUCACUUUUGCUUUCAUUCCAGUGGCCAUAACUCCAUUGUAUGUAGGUGGAUCUUACUAUAAUGGAGCCUGAGGAAUAUGUAUAGUUGUGUGUCCAGGAAGGAGAAGAAACGAUUAGGUGAACAGCGAGCAUUUCUGACACUCGAUUACUAUGUGUGGUAUUACCUCCAUGUUCAGUAAAUGUUACUUACCCUUCCUUCCCCCAACCCCUGGUUUUCCUGGCAGACAAACCAGGACAGUUAUAAGGAAAAAGAUAAUAGAAGCAGUUAAAACAUAUAUAGAUAGCCCUUACUAUUUUUGAGAUACU